ACUACAGGCACGCGCCACCAUGCCUGGCAGAAGAUUGGGAGCAACCUAAACAUCCAUCACAGGGGAUGGCUAGAUGGAUUUGUAGACGACGGAGUCCUCCGCAGUCCUCAAGAGAAAUGAAGAGCGAUUUACAUCUAGACAUGGAAUGGUCCCCAGAACACUUCGUUUAUGCGAAAUGCAAGCGCAGAGCCGUCCCUCAAGCCAAAACAAGAUCAGCCAGGGCUUGCAAAGGCCCGCGAUGAGGGUGUACAAUAGGUGAUGCUUCUACUGUUUGGAGAGCCUCCGAUGGGCAGCCUCUCUCAGGGACUCUGCCCGGCCCAGCCCAGGAGAAGACGGGAGCUGGGAAGCUCAGGGAGGGCUGGGAGCAGCCGCCAGCCACAGUGAGCAGAGGGCGCAGGCAGACCUGGCAGGCGUUGAGGGCUGGAGUCUCGGGCGGCCAGCCCUUGACACCUCGCACGGGGAUGGUGCCUGGUCUUCACUUGUUCUGUGUCAGAGUUACAGCCCCGCGCUGGGGACGCUGGCUCUCUGCGUCUGUCUGCUGGGCCUCCCGUGGAAGCCAGGCCUGGUGGAGCCACAUGAAUAUUGAUGUCUGCGCAGCCACCCUGCAGGGAGAGCCGCGGAGCCCCGCUGGGCAGCCCUGGGUGCAUGGAGUCCUGAUGCGAGGGGGCUGGCGGAGGCCAGGGGCUGCCAGGAGGGGCAGGAACCCCAGGACGGAGAAGACCGCAGGGUGACAAACACCAAAUCCAGCAGUCACCUGCGGGGAGGAAGAGGAGAGCGAAGGGGUGGCCUUGCAAAAUAACAGGGAAACACCUAACCCGACAACUGUCCCCGUAACAAUUAAACGUCAGUCCCGCGAGUUCUCUCGCUAACAGGCGCCUGCGGAAGUCAAGCUUUGCACAACUUCUGGAAAAGCUGCAUGGACAGAAAACAGAUGUGAAUCUCUCUCCUUCAAAAUUGUUGUUUUGAGAAUCUGCUUUUACAGAGUUCCCGAGUAAACAGCGGGAGCAGGAGCUACAGCCUCAGCCAUAUCUGGAGGACAGAGGCACAUCUCCGGUGACCAUCCCUUCUCCAAGGGAGGCAGGACACCGAGUCUUGGACUUUGACAUCCUUGCAGUUUUUGUUAUCUACCUGCUGCCGCUUUUUAAAAAUCAACUGGCAGCCAUCACUAGUUUUCUGUCUUCCUCCCCCUUAAAAUCAGCAAGACCCUUGGCCUCGCUGCUGGCACGGCCUUCUCUUUGUUUGGGAUGCCAUGCAUUUCCCUUCCCUUCCCUUCCCUUCCUUCC